rnacentral:lncRNA from 1 species
CCUAAACUGCCCAAUUACAUCAGCCCAAAUCAACCUAGCCCAAAACCCUCUCUAAACCCAGUCCUAAGCCCAGAAAACCAACUCGGCCCAAUGCUAUGGCCCGAUUUUAAGAAAAUUCCAGAAACACCUAGGGUUUUCGAAACCCUUUUGCGUCGCAAUCCAGGUUCUCCUUCGUGCGUCUUGCACCACUGCCAAGCAUCGGCCUCCCCCACGCGCCUCCGUACACUCCAGCUGGACUUCUCCGUACCUGCAGCAAACAACAAGUCGACAGCAAAAAUGGAACAAAAACAACAAAAAAAAAGCCAGCAUAGAAAAACGGAAGAAAUAAUAGAAAAAAAGAAGAAAAAACAUUUUGUAAUAUAC